AGAGUUUGAUCCUGGCUCAGAUUGAACGCUGGCGGCAUGCCUUACACAUGCAGGUCGAACGGCAGCACGAGAGCUUGCUCUUGGUGGCGAGUGGCGAACGGGUGAGUAAUAUAUCGGAACGUACCCUAGGGUGGGGGAUAACGUAGCGAAAGUUACGCUAAUACCGCAUACGAUCUACGGAUGAAAGUGGGGGAUCGCAAGACCUCAUGCUCAUGGAGCGGCCGAUAUCUGAUUAGCUAGUUGGUGGGGUAAAAGCUCACCAAGGCGACGAUCAGUAGCUGGUCUGAGAGGACGACCAGCCACACUGGAACUGAGACAUGGUCCAGACUCCUACGGGAGGCAGCAGUGGGGAAUUUUGGACAAUGGGCGCAAGCCUGAUCCAGCAAUGCCGCGUGAGUGAAGAAGGCCUUCGGGUUGUAAAGCUCUUUUGUCAGGGAAGAAAUGGUGGACUCUAAUACAGAUCACUAAUGACGGUACCUGAAGAAUAAGCACCGGCUAACUACGUGCCAGCAGCCGCGGUAAUACGUAGGGUGCAAGCGUUAAUCGGAAUUACUGGGCGUAAAGCGUGCGCAGGCGGUUGUGCAAGACAGAUGUGAAAUCCCCGGGCUCAACCUGGGAAUUGCAUUUGUGACUGCACGGCUAGAGUGUGUCAGAGGGGGGUAGAAUUCCACGUGUAGCAGUGAAAUGCGUAGAGAUGUGGAGGAAUACCGAUGGCGAAGGCAGCCCCCUGGGAUAACACUGACGCUCAUGCACGAAAGCGUGGGGAGCAAACAGGAUUAGAUACCCUGGUAGUCCACGCCCUAAACGAUGUCUACUAGUUGUCGGGUCUUAAUUGACUUGGUAACGCAGCUAACGCGUGAAGUAGACCGCCUGGGGAGUACGGUCGCAAGAUUAAAACUCAAAGGAAUUGACGGGGACCCGCACAAGCGGUGGAUGAUGUGGGUUAAUUCGAUGCAACGCGAAAAACCUUACCUACCCUUGACAUGUCUGGAAUCCUUGAGAGAUCAGGGAGUGCUCGAAAGAGAAUCAGAACACAGGUGCUGCAUGGCUGUCGUCAGCUCGUGUCGUGAGAUGUUGGGUUAAGUCCCGCAACGAGCGCAACCCUUGUCAUUAGUUGCUACGAAAGGGCACUCUAAUGAGACUGCCGGUGACAAACCGGAGGAAGGUGGGGAUGACGUCAAGUCCUCAUGGCCCUUAUGGGUAGGGCUUCACACGUCAUACAAUGGUACAUACAGAGGGCCGCCAACCCGCGAGGGGGAGCUAAUCCCAGAAAGUGUAUCGUAGUCCGGAUUGUAGUCUGCAACUCGACUACAUGAAGUUGGAAUCGCUAGUAAUCGCGGAUCAGCAUGUCGCGGUGAAUACGUUCCCGGGUCUUGUACACACCGCCCGUCACACCAUGGGAGCGGGUUUCACCAGAAGUGGGUAGCCUAACCGCAAGGAGGGCGCUCACCACGGUGGGAUUCGUGACUGGGGUGAAGUCGUAACAAGGUA
rnacentral:rRNA from 1 species